UGGGGAGUAACAGCCGGAAACGGCUGCUAAUACCGAAUACGAUCUUUCGUCGCAUGACGGAAAGAAGGAAAGGAUGGCCUCUAUACAAAGCUAUCGCCGAAGGAGGGGUUUGCGUCUGAUUAGCUGGUUGGAGGGUAACGGCCCAACAAGGCGAUGAUCAGUAGCCGGUCUGAGAGGAUGAACGGCCACAUUGGGACUGAGACACGGCCCAGACUCCUACGGGAGGCAGCAGUGGGGAAUCUUCCGCAAUGGACGAAAGUCUGACGGAGCAACGCCGCGUGAGUGAAGAAGGUCUUCGGAUUGUAAAACUCUGUUAUACGGGACGAAAAAGGCGGAUGCCAACAGUAUCCGUCCGUGACGGUACCGUAAGAGAAAGCCACGGCUAACUACGUGCCAGCAGCCGCGGUAAAU
rnacentral:rRNA from 1 species